AAUCCAUAAAAGACCAUAAAAAGAAGGGUUAUAUGGAUGCAAAUUGAUCAAGUUUUCAACAUCAAACUUCAUCAUUUAUUAAGGUAUGGGAUUCCUUUCACCUUUUGAGAUCUCUUUCUCCAAAGGGUUCCUCAAAAUAUAUUUCAAAAGUAUAAAAUUCAAGUGGGUUUUCUUCCAAUAAAAAAUUGAUCUUAUGAAUUGCUUUGUUUAUGAUUCCUUUUGGUUAUUAUGAGUAUAUUAACAUGUUUUAUGAAACAUUUUGACUACUUCUUGGUGUAUUGACCGAGUUUGUGAAAAGAUGACCUUUUCCCCUUAACCCUAGGUUGUGAUCAUGAAUUGAAUUGUAUAUCAUUGAUACAAUCCACUUGGUUAAUGUGUGAUUUACUAUUCUACGUUGUUAUUGUUUCAAUUAUGAGUAUAUUGUUUUGUAUUGUAAUUUAAGUAUGCUAGUUCUUGAUUAAUUGACCUAGGUUGUGAAGUAGAUCAUGAAUUUGAUCUAAGGUCCAAAUUCUAGUCUAUGAACUAGUGAUGAAUUGUUGUAUAGUGAUUCAAUUGACUUUAUUAUGAUGAUUAUUAUUAUUGUGUGAUAAUGUUACACCCAUUCUUGGGUUGAAUUUGAUAAUUGAUGGUAAGACCUUCAUGAUGGCAUUGUGAAGGAGAUUGGGUAAGCCUUGUAAUAUCAAUUCUUGACUUCAAUUAUGACUACAUCUGAUUAAAUGAUGAUGUUGUAUUGAAGUAUACCUCAUGUUAAGAUUGAUAGGGUUGGUAUGAUGUUAAAUUGAAAUGUCUUGAACAAUGGAUUGUGAGUUGUUGGCUAAGAUGUAAAUGUUAUAAGGAUGGUGAUAACAUACCGAUGAUCCUUAUUAUGAUGUGACUAUGUAAAUGUGUUAACCUCACAUGUAUGAAUUGUAAUGGAAGGACAAUACUCAUGCAAUUCUUGUUGAGCUAUGAUGAUUAUUAUAUAAGGGAUAGACCCUAUAAACUACAUUAUGUUGUGAUGAUUAAUAAUGGAAUUAAAGACAUUUCAAAAGGAUUCUAGCUUAGCACCAAGUGAACUAGAGUUAACAGUGUCCUAUCCCACAUAGGGAAGGUAGGAUACCUAAUGUACUCAUAAGAUGGAGACUAUAAUACAUGUCGCAUAAAGAGGGUCCAAACUAUAUCUCCUAGUUAUUGACCCCAUAGGGUAGCUAGUGUAUCCAUAUAGAUGUUAUGUUUAUGUUUUGGUACUACCUUGUCAAGUAGUACGCCUUCCAUCGAUGUAGGGUUCCAUGACACCGGAUUUUACAUUAGCUCAUGUGGUCUAUUUCGGUUAAGGAAAAAUGUUCCCAAGAGGUAAAAUGAAGUAAUGAAGUGGACUCUAACUAGCAUGACCUAAGGAGUUUAGCUUAUUCUAGGUAGGGGUAUAGGACACUACCUAUGCAUUGCACUAGUUAUCCUUGAGGGAAGUCUUAGAAGGAUCUUCUUAUAUAUGUAUAUGCUUAUAAAUAUAAAUGAUAAUGUAUAUGAUUAUCUUACAUAUUUAUGACACUAUAUGAUGUUGGUUUCACUUACGAACAUGUGUUUGGUCUCUAUUCUAACUUUUGAUGUUAUAUACUCUUAAGGAUAUGUUGUGUUAAGUUUGGCAUUGUUUAUGGUUCUUGUUGAGUUACUUGAUUGAGUAAGGUUAGGGGUUUUGCCUAGUUAUUGCAAUAGUGGACUUAAUAAGGGUUCAUGAAUUAUGGUCUUGCUUUAGUUAUGAUAUUAUGAACUCUUAUAUAUGCUUGUUGAUAUUAUAAUUUGAUGAUAGGGUUGUCUUGAUUGUGUUCUAAAUUAGGUUGACAUGCACAUUGACUUAACUAGACUAUGUAUUAUUGGUCUUGUGAUGUACAUGCUAUUGACUUAAUAAAUAUGUAUGAUUGACAUGUAUUGGCUCUUGAAUGUGCAAAAGGAUUUUCAAAGUAAAAUAGCAUGUUUUAAUAGGAUGUCCUUUUUUAGCAUGAUUUAAUGUUAUGUGUGCAUAUGGUCUCAUACUUAGUACAAGUGAAGUGCUAACCCUAUUUUCUCCCUUUUUCCCCAACAUUUUAGGUUCCGAUUGUUAAAGGCUUGUAGCGACCUUUGAAGGAAGAUUUGGAUUCUCAUUCUCCAAGUUGGGUAGGUCCUCACUACUUCGAGGACAAUGCCACUUUCUAGCAUUGAAUAUAGAUUAGUAUUAAAG
rnacentral:lncRNA from 1 species